rnacentral:lncRNA from 1 species
GGCUAUAUUGGUGCACACAAUUUAGAUAAUGACAUCGCAAUUAGAGAAGGCGACGUACACUCAAAAAGAAAAAAAGAUUUUAUAUGUCAGAGACCUAUUGGGCAUAGGUUUCAUUCAUCAUACUCUCGUCAUGUGAUGGACCCACAGGCGCCUCGGUGAUUGGUGGCGAGUAUGAUAAAUUCCUCCAGCGGAUGAGGCCAAGAAGAGUCGUCGGUCAAAGUAGAUGC